AGAGUGAUUACAGGAGAUGGGAAAGUUUGAGAGAUUGAGAACAGGAAAUGGGCAAGUGUGAGAGAGUGGGUGAGAGCAGGAGAUGGGGAAAGUGUGAGAGAGAACAGGAGAUGGAAAAGUGUGAGAGAGAACAGGAGAUGUGAAAUUGUGAGAGAGUAUCAGAGAUGGGAAAGUGUGAGAGAGAACAGGAGAUGGGAAAGUGUGAGAGCGAACAGGAGAUGGGAAAUUGUGAGAGAGUAUCAGAGAUGGGAAAGUGUGAGAGAGAACAGGAGAUGUGAGAGGGUGAGAACAGGAGAUGGGGAAAGUGAGAGCGAGAGAGAGAGGGAGAGGAAGAGGAUUGUUUGAUGAGCCUAAUGAAGAUUAAUCACCCAGAGAGGCAGCUGUUGCCCCCCACCUCCUAGCAGAGAUACAGGAAACUCAUCUAAUCUAUCAAAGUGCUCAUAUUACGGCUGAGGUUUGUCGACAGGCGGUACGCAGACACUCCAAACAGAUUGAGGUUGGUCCUGCAAACAAACAGACAGAGACAUCCCAGUCCCACUGACUGUAAAGGGAGGUGACACUUUAAAAGUGGCCAAUAUGCUGCUCUAAUUAUCAUUAUGUAAAUGAAUGACACUAAUGUCUAUGGACAUUGCAACAGACACGGGUGCAUCUACAUCAUGGGAGCCAAAGGGUGUCACUGGCAGAGCCCAGAAGACCACAGUAAGAUCUACGAGGGAUCUACUACUGUUCCUCUGCAGGCUCUCCAGUGUGGGAAGCAUCCUGGGCUCCUUGUGGGUGUUUGAUUCCUGGUCCACACCCAGAGAACCCCUGUGUAUCUGUGAGUCCACAGUCACCACAAUGAAGAAGGACCAUUAGGAUGGAGCCAUCUGCCUCCACUUCUCCCCUGCUGGGAUAGACAAGACUAUUCUUAUUUUCUGAGGGCUGUAUUGAAAUGUCCUCCAGGACUGUAAUACAAUUAUUAAAUCAUUUCUGCAAACAAAAAUUGUACACAAAGUGAAAACAAUCUAGUGGUAUCCCUCUGUGCAUCAGUCAGGCAGCAUACUGUGCUCUUUAUUUGAGUAGUUACUCUUGUUGGGGCAGACUUGGUUUGC
rnacentral:lncRNA from 1 species